AACCUGUAAUGGGGUUAUGGUGAGUGAAGCUGGCAGUGUACUCUUGAGGCUCUCCAGUAGAGGGAGGUAGUGCACUACAAAUGUCUUAAGGCUUGCAGGCUUUGGUUUAAGUCUCGUGAGACUUUGUUUAACUCUCGUUUGGUUAGAAGCGUGCAGCCGCCAUUUUUAAAAGGCUCGUGGGAUCUUGCCCAGCGAUCUUUUUGGCUCACUGCCAGGGAUAUGUGCAGGUAGCACGGAGGGCUGAAACUUCAGAGCAGCGUUUUUGGUACUUCAUUCGGUUGGUUUGGAGUGUGGUAGGGCUGGAGAAGUCAGCCGUUGUGCACCAGUGAAUCCGGUACACAUUGUGGGAGUCCAGAUACAGGUAUUUAAUAAUUGUUUUAACCUGUUUUGUGAGAAGUUAAGCUAGUAUGCCUUUGUGGCUAGUUUUAAAAGUAUGCACUUGUUUUACAGUGUGGAAUAAGAGCCUAUUUUGUAGUGAACUGCAGCCCUGUGUAUGCCGGUGAGCCAGUGUGCAUUGUGGAAGUCCAGAUACAGCAGUAACAUCCAGUAGUGGACAGCAGUAACAAGGGAAGUGGAGCCCUUCCAAGGCAGAUAUAUAGAAUGUUUAGAAUAUAGGUAGGUUCAUGUUUUAAAUUAGUUUUAAUGAAAGAAAAGUUUUAGAGCUGUAAAGUGCUAAUGGUGUGCUUUCUCCUCUUUAGGAGUAUCCCUGGCCAGUGAAAAUUAAUUAUUGUUCUUUCCUUCCCCUUGAAAUUUUUAAUAGUAAAAUAUAUUAAAGAUUGGGUUUUAAAGGUAUUAAACGUUAAUUCACUUGAGUGCCAAUUCUGUUUUAAAUUAAAAUUGCAUCACAUUCAAUUGAACCAGUUGGACAGUGUGGGGCCUGGUGGGAGGUGGUAUUAUUAUAAUCUCGUGUUAACUAAGCUAAGGUACAAGUCGUGAGGGUUCUCUUUUGGGGUGGAGUGUGUUUUCUUUAAGUAAAUUUUGAAUUUGUUUGAUUUUGAGUUUGUUGUGUUAUCUAUUUUAUUUAUAUUAUUUUUUUGAAGUAUUUGGUUAUAAUUGAGCCCUUAAACUCUUGUAAACUCUUGUUUAUUUUCUUUUGGGGUAUUAUACUACCAGUUUUCCCACGUUCAUGCUACCAGGCAAUUAAUUCCUUUAUUAACACUGCCAAUUGUGGAUUUUGGGUCAAUUCUUGUGAGCAAACGAGUUGUUGUUUUUUUUUAUUUAUUUUUAUUUUAGAUUUUCUAAUAAAGACACAUUGUGAAACGUCA